UGCACUCUGGGACAAGCCCUGGAAACGGGGUCUAAUACCGGAUAUGACUACCGAUCGCAUGGUUGGUGGUGGAAAGCUCCGGCGGUGCAGGAUGAGCCCGCGGCCUAUCAGCUUGUUGGUGGGGUGAUGGCCUACCAAGGCGACGACGGGUAGCCGGCCUGAGAGGGCGACCGGCCACACUGGGACUGAGACACGGCCCAGACUCCUACGGGAGGCAGCAGUGGGGAAUAUUGCACAAUGGGCGAAAGCCUGAUGCAGCGACGCCGCGUGAGGGAUGACGGCCUUCGGGUUGUAAACCUCUUUCAGCAGGGAAGAAGCGAGAGUGACGGUACCUGCAGAAGAAGCGCCGGCUAACUACGUGCCAGCAGCCGCGGUAAUACGUAGGGCGCGAGCGUUGUCCGGAAUUAUUGGGCGUAAAGAGCUCGUAGGCGGCUUGUCACGUCGGAUGUGAAAGCCCGGGGCUUAACCCCGGGUCUGCAUUCGAUACGGGCAGGCUAGAGUUCGGUAGGGGAGAUCGGAAUUCCUGGUGUAGCGGUGAAAUGCGCAGAUAUCAGGAGGAACACCGGUGGCGAAGGCGGAUCUCUGGGCCGAUACUGACGCUGAGGAGCGAAAGCGUGGGGAGCGAACAGGAUUAGAUACCCUGGUAGUCCACGCCGUAAACGUUGGGAACUAGGUGUGGGCGACAUUCCACGUCGUCCGUGCCGCAGCUAACGCAUUAAGUUCCCCGCCUGGGGAGUACGGCCGCAAGGCU
rnacentral:rRNA from 1 species